rnacentral:lncRNA from 1 species
ACUCUGUGGUGGCAUUCGCGUCUGCGAGCUCCGGAGUGACUUUCCCUUCCUGUGAAGGCAAUCCGGCCCUUUCCGGUGGAGGACCCUUCCCCCUGGGUUGAUCUUGAGGAACUUAAGAGACGGUGUUUUGACUCGACUCCUUUCCCCUUUUUCCUCCCGGUGAGAUCCAGACCUUCUUAGAGAGAACACAGCCAGUGGAGAGUCACUCUAUGGCAGGAAAUAUUCUGUAUUGCCUUACAGGCAGAACUUGCUGAAACUCCAACCUCUGGAAAUUACUGGAACCCUGCAUUCUAGAACUUGCUGGAAACCCACCCUCUGGAAUUGGCCUGCUAGAGUGCCUGAGAAGGAUGUUCAUAGGGAAAUGUUUCAGCAGAGGAACUCUACUACAAAAACCACAAGAGGGAGGGUGCCAGGGGAAGUGGCCUGGUGCUAUUGAAACUGCAACACAGAAGCCAGCCACUGGAGAGAGCUGCACAAGCUGCAGGAACACCCUACCCAGUAAGCCGGCCAGAAGGAGGGAGCAAAACCUUUUCUCUCUGCAACAUCUUUCCAGUUUCCUCUACUGGAAAAGCUUCAUUGCCAGCUGACAAAAGGAAAAAUACUUAAAUGGAUCAGAUCCAUUUUCACAGAGCAGUCAAUAAUGGUGAAUUUGGAGAUGAUAAGCAACAAAUUGAUGAACUGGCACAACUUCCCUGCUACUUUCUUGAUUGUAAUGCCUAGAUAGGGAAUAGGAAAGUUAUUGAAAUGUAUGUGUUCCCAUGAAAUGUGUU